UAGAGUCAGUCCACCUGAGGGGCAAAACCCAUUCAUCAUUUGUCAAAGGCUGUUUUUCAGAGGUGUAUUUCUUCUCUGGCACUUCGGGCUUGACAUGCAAACAAAGCACGUAUGUUCCUACAUCCAGAACAAAAGCUUUUGCUUGUAGAAAUGAGUUCUGAGAAGAUAUGAGCAAAUUUCCAUGACAUCUGUUACAAGGGGAAGGACGUGCACCCAAGUGUGCUCAUCGAAGUACAAAUCUGGCCCCUGGAGAGCAGAAACAGAAGCUGGUUUUACAGCAUUACUUUUAUGAAACAACAUUGAAUACUCUACCGCCCACAAAAGUAGUGUAAAUAGCAGGUUUUUCCAUCAGCUGUUGUCAAGACAAUUCUGUUUUAACAACCGUAGCUGUUUCUAUGUUUACUCUCUUUGGAAUGGUCACACUCACACCCAAGGUCACUCAGGCAACAUAGACAGCAGAUCAAGAGUGAGAGAAAUCCUUUCCAUCUUUUCUCCUCUUCUAGGGGGUACUCCAUACUACUAGCUGCCCAGCCUGCAUCACCCCAGACAUCAGGAGUGGCUGCUCACAGAAGACCAAGGCAGAUUGGAAUAAUGGAACCCCUUCAUCAAGACCCCUCUGCACCGUCUCUUAGUCCUAGUACCUUGAGAGAGUCGUUUACGCUCUUGGAGUGUCCCUGCAUUUUUAAAGGUGUUAGCAUGAAGAACAAGGCAAUAGACAUAGACAAGGAAGCUGUUAUGAGCACAGAUCUCAUGGGAAAAGCAAAACUUUCUGCUGUUUUUGUUCAGAAAUACAGAAAUUUUCAGGAAGAUCUUUUAUGAAGGUGAUAACACUAGGGUCCCUACUCAGGACACCAGCUGAACAGACAAGAUUUCCCUGUUACUUGUGGUUUGGUCUGUUAAGCACAAUCCCACCUCGAUGCUGCCAUUAGGCAGAUAGUUUAUGCGUCUCUCCAAACUUCCCAGUGGAGACCUUUAUUUUCAGACUUGGAGGACUGGGAGUGUGGAGCACAGAGGAAAAAGAACGUGAAGUUCUGACUAAUUACGAGCUGGGGGAGGGAUGAAGCAGUGAGAAAAUGGUGAUUUUGACUGUGAAAAGUUCAACUGAAUUAAAUUUAAACUUUUAAAAGAAGGAAUCUACAAAUGUUAGACAACUAUGUAAGGGAGUAUUUAGUUCUGAGUUGGUUUAAAACCCAUUCUUCAUCCAGUACCCGUAACAAACAACAGAAAAAGCAUGCUGACAUUUCUUAGCAAAAACUGAUAAAAUGAGUCUAACCACAAUGACAUUUUUCCAGCUGGCAUAAUCAUGAGUCAUUCCUUUCUCUGAGGACUUAAUGUCACCACAAAAGCCUCUAACUUCCCCAUAUUUAUCAUUUGGAAAUGAAAACUGUUUACUUGUCA
rnacentral:lncRNA from 1 species